CGAAUAUAUUUUGCUGCCAAACA
rnacentral:siRNA from 1 species